rnacentral:rRNA from 1 species
GACGAACGCUGGCGGCGUGCUUAACACAUGCAAGUCGAACGGAAAGGCCCUGCUUUUGUGGGGUGCUCGAGUGGCGAACGGGUGAGUAACACGUGAGUAACCUGCCCUUGACUUUGGGAUAACUUCAGGAAACUGGGGCUAAUACCGGAUAGGAGCUCCUGCUGCAUGGGGGGGGUGGGAAAUUUUCGGCGGGUGGGGAUGGACUCGCGGCUUAUCGGUUGGUUGGUGGGGGAGGGGCUUACCAAGGCUUUGACGGGUAGCCGGCCUGAGAGGGUGACCGGCGACAAUGCGACUGAGAUACGGACCAGACUCCUACGGGAGGCAGCAGUGGGGAAUAUUGCACAAUGGGCGGAAGCCUGAUGAAGCAACGCCGCGUGCGGGAUGACGGCCUUCGGGUUGUAAACCGCUUUCGCCUGUGACGCAGCGUGAGUGACGGUAAUGGGUAAAGAAGCACCGGCUAACUACGUG